CCUGAGUAGUACAGAAAGAGCUUUCACCAGUAGUGGCUUCCCCCACUCCUGACAGAUCAAGACUGCAACCAUCACUUUGACCAAUGGACACCUAAGUUGCAACUAUCAAGUCUCAUCGCUUGAUCUAUGGGUGCUCAAGAGGCAGGAAAAAGCCAAAUAUCACUUAGUAACAGAAGACAGAAGGCAAAGAGCAGAAAGUUGCUAAUAGAGGUG